GGAUUUGUCAGUUGGUCGGGCUUCACUGUCCGUAUUGACUUGAUGGAUUCUUACCUUCUGAAUAACCAGCAUGCUAUUAAUUUAGUGCGUUGGGGAAGCAGAUCUAUUACCUUGAAAAAAUUAGAGUGCUUAAAGCGAGCUAGUGCUUGAAUAGAUUAGCAUGGAAUAAUAAAAUAGGACGGCAUGGUUCUAUUUUGUUGGUUUCUAGGAUCACCGUA
rnacentral:rRNA from 1 species